AGGGAAAAAAUGGCGGCUAAGCGUCGGUGCGCUGUAGCUGGCUGUGAAGUGAUGUAUGGAAAAGAAAACUUUAAAGAAAACGGAGUAACUUUUUUCCAGAUUCCACCAUCCUCUUUCACUGAUUGAAAGUCGUUGGUUUCUUCCAGUAAUUGGACGUCUAAUUCCCGUUUGUGUAGUCGUCAUUUUGACGAUGCCGACAUUGUGAAGGGUAGGACAAUUGGAGGAACUUUUUUUCGCAUUUCAACGUUGGAACUUGAAAAGUGAUGCAAAGCCCAAGCAUUUACUGAACCUUGAUCAACCAGUGCCAACCCGAGGACUGAAGAGUUUUAGACAGCCAUUUCAAGAGAGGCCCAACGAUAACCACAAUGGGAAAACCCUGGUCCAUCGGAACAAUGUAAAACAGGGACUACAGACCAAGACCUUUUAUCAAUGUGGGCCUCGAGCACUAAAGAAAGAAGUUGGGCAUGCUGGUGGCAGCAGUUGGUCUUGUCUAUCGUUGCAAAGAAAAGAUAAAGAAACGGUUUCAUCAACGUCUUUUCUUGUUCCUCGCAAGAUUCAAAAUAUUAAUUUUUUUACAAUAACUAACGGGUAAUUUUUUUUUGUUUUAAGUGAAGAAUAAAAAGGUCUCCAACCUGA